UCUCUGGUGGUCCAGUGGUUAAGACUCUGUGCUCCUAAUGCAGGGGGAUCCAGGUUCAACCCCUGGUCAAGGAA
rnacentral:tRNA from 1 species